rnacentral:tRNA from 1 species
UUAAUUGAAACCAAAAAGAGGUAUAUUAUUGUUAAUAAUAUAAUUGAAUAUAUAUUCCAGUUAAG